ensembl:snoRNA SNORA53 small nucleolar RNA SNORA53
AACACGCUGCUCAGAGCCACCUCUGGGGGGCGCUCCUGUGCUGGUGCUGUCUUGUCUCUGAGAGAUGCAGCUCCAGUCUGGUGUUCCUCGGCAGCUUCCUGGCUGUACAUUUGGAGGUGUUUGAGUUAUUGGUGUGUGAGCGCAGUCUACCUGCCCCCAAUCGACUAGGCCAGAGGAAGGGUGUCAUCCCGGGUGGCCCCU